rnacentral:rRNA from 1 species
GACGAACGCUGGCGGCGUGCUUAACACAUGCAAGUCGAACGGAAAGGCCCUGCUUUUGUGGGGUGCUCGAGUGGCGAACGGGUGAGUAACACGUGAGUAACCUGCCCUUGACUUUGGUAUAACUUCAGGAAACUGGGGCUAAUACCGGAUAGGAUCUCCUGCUGCAUGGUGGGGGUUGGAAAUUUUCGGCGGUUGGGGAUGGACUCGCGGCUUAUCAGCUUGUUGGUGGGGUAGUGGCUUACCAAGGCUUUGACGGGUAGCCGGCCUGAGAGGGUGACCGGCCACAUUGGGACUGAGAUACGGCCCAGACUCCUACGGGAGGCAGCAGUGGGGAAUAUUGCCCAAUGGGCGGAAGCCUGAUGCAGCAACGCCGCGUGCGGGAUGACGGCCUUCGGGUUGUAAACCGCUUUCGCCUGUGACGAAGCGUGAGUGACGGUAAUGGGUAAAGAAGCACCGGCUAACUACGUG